rnacentral:rRNA from 1 species
UAUACCGUGAAACUGCGAAUGGCUCAUUAAAUCAGUUAUCGUUUAUUUGAUAGUACCUUACUACUUGGAUAACCGUGGUAAUUCUAGAGCUAAUACAUGCUAAAAACCCCAACUUMSGRAGGGGUGUAUUUAUUAGAUAAAAAACCAACGCCCUUCGGGGCUUCUUGGUGAUUCAUGAUAACUUUACGGAUCGCAUGGCCUUGCGCCGGCGACGGUUCAUUCAAAUUUCUGCCCUAUCAACUUUCGAUGGUAAGGUAUUGGCUUACCAUGGUUUCAACGGGUAACGGGGAAUUAGGGUUCGAUUCCGGAGAGGGAGCCUGAGAAACGGCUACCACAUCCAAGGAAGGCAGCAGGCGCGCAAAUUACCCAAUCCCGACACGGGGAGGUAGUGACAAUAAAUACUGAUACAGGGCUCUUUUGGGUCUUGUAAUUGGAAUGAGUACAAUUUAAACCUCUUAACGAGGAACAAUUGGAGGGCAAGUCUGGUGGACAAUUCAGCUCCCAUACUGCUGACGCCAGCAAAAGUCGGGCAUCUCUUGAUGUUACACCGGCUAGUCGAUGUACCCACUGAUCUGAUGGGGGGGUACCGGCAAGACAACCUGGGUCGGGGAAGGCUAAGGCGCUCUUUUGCGCUAUGCUAAUCCCGAGCAGAGCUACUAUAAAGCGAUUUAUGGCUAGCCUGUGUAGAGCACGGAAAGGUGUCGGCCAACUCACGUAGUUGGCUUAAGGGACGUGCCAUUCCCACCUGAAAGGGUGGCUGUCAACAAUAGCGCCCAUCACGCAAAGGUUGACAGGUUCAAACAGCCUGUUUGAAGUUAAUAAUAGGCCAGCAGCCGCGGUAAUUCCAGCUCCAAUAGCGUAUAUUAAAGUUGUUGCAGUUAAAAAGCUCGUAGUUGAAACUUGGGUCUGGCUGGCAGGUCCGCCUCACCGCGUGUACUUGUCCGGCCGGGCCUUCCUUCUGGAGAACCUCAUGCCCUUCACUGGGCGUGUUGGGGACCAGGACUUUUACUUUGAAAAAAUUAGAGUGUUCAAAGCAGGCCUUUGCUC